rnacentral:rRNA from 1 species
CCAGACUCCUACGGGAGGCAGCAGUGGGGAAUAUUGGACAAUGGGGGAAACCCUGAUCCAGCGACGCCGCGUGAGUGAAGAAGUAUUUCGGUACGUAAAGCUCUAUCAGCAGGAAAGAAAAUGACGGUACCUGACUAAGAAGCCCCGGCUAACUACGUGCCAGCAGCCGCGGUAAUACGUAGGGGGCAAGCGUUAUCCGGAAUUACUGGGUGUAAAGGGAGCGUAGACGGUGAAGUAAGUCUGGAGUGAAAGGCGGGGGCCCAACCCCCGGACUGCUCUGGAAACUAUUUGACUGGAGUGCAGGAGAGGUAAGCGGAAUUCCUAGUGUAGCGGUGAAAUGCGUAGAUAUUAGGAGGAACACCAGUGGCGAAGGCGGCUUACUGGACUGUAACUGACGUUGAGGCUCGAAAGCGUGGGGAGCAAACAGGAUUAGAUACCCGCGUAUU